UUCAUGUGUUCUACGGUGAGUUCUGAGUAUCCUGCACCGCCCUCGAGGACCUGCAGGGGGCGCGCGAAGCCAGCGUGUCUUAGGUGGCGGUGCGCAUGCGCAGUCCACUUCAGCAGCCAGCAUCUUCCCUGGGGGCGGAGCUUGUUUUCCUCAGCACUGAGCGGGCGGCGCCAUGGAGGCUCCAGGACAGCGCUCCCUGCGUGUCCGCGGGAGGACGCUCCCCGCCCGCUGUCUGAAGUUACGCCGGUUUCCCACUGCCUGCGCCCGCUUCCUGCCGGGGUGUGUGUGGACCUGACCGAGCUAGGGCCCCGGCCGGCUGGGCAGGAGGGGACGGGUGCGCUGGCUGGCCCGCUUCGACUAUUCUCCUCGCCCGCCGGGAGCGGAUUGAAUCUGACUGAGACAUAACUUCGAUGGGAUCACACUGCUAUUAAACGUCAGUAUUGAAAAUCAAAUAUUUCAUACUAUUUCUCAACCUUGAAAGAAAGAGUAUUUCCAGAAAAAAAAAAGAGGAGUUGUUAAGGAGACAAUGGAAAAGACUUCUAAAUAACUACAGCAUUUGGCCAGUUCACAAUGGAGGAAAUAAUGAACGGCUGUACUCUGAUAGACACUAAAAAAAUUCCUUUUAUGGGCCCCAAGAUCCCUGACAUCACAAGGAAAUGAUUCAUUUACAACUUGGGUAACAGGUGAGUUUUUUAAGCAGUGAUUUGGGGCUAUUGUUAAUAACAAGGUACAUGAAAGCUUCUUUAUAAAACUAAAAUUAUAUAAUAAUAAUAAAUAAUACCAUUUAGUAAAUGGUAAAUGUAUUAUGUAAAUUGUUUCAUGGAAUCCCACACUGGGGACCUGGGCCUAUUGUUUCCCUUUGAAUAACAGAUUCUUCCCUAAAUCAUUUGAAAUCUGUUCCCUGUAAAUUUUAAAUAGGAUAACAUUAUUUUGCUAUAAUACAGUAGUUUAAAUUUAAGCACAAC